UACAGAGGGGGCAAGCGUUGUUCGGAAUUACUGGGCGUAAAGGGCGCGUAGGCGGCCUCUUAAGUCGAACGUGAAAUCCCCGGGCUCAACCCGGGAACUGCGUCCGAUACUGGGGGGCUUGAAUCCGGGAGAGGGAUGUGGAAUUCCAGGUGUAGCGGUGAAAUGCGUAGAUAUCUGGAGGAACACCGGUGGCGAAGGCGGCAUCCUGGACCGGUAUUGACGCUGAGGCGCAAAAGCCAGGGGAGCAAACGGG
rnacentral:rRNA from 1 species